CCUCAAAACCGAGUCCUUAGAGAUGAGAUGCGCAGCAGCAUCCCGGGGACCUCAGAGGCCGGGUCUGCAGGUCAUCUCUCAUCUGGCUGCCCACUCAUUCUCCGGAGCGAAGCUUCAGUUCCCCUCCCACCAGGAGGCAGGCACCCAGCCUCUGCAGAGCCCCCCUGUCAGGGUUAUACCCUCACCCUCCUGGACCCUUUGGUGUGCAGUGCUCAGUGCUCAGUCUCCCUGAUGCAGAUUUGUAAAGAAGGGCUCAUUAAGGUGAGAAGGAGGGACACGGGCAAGCUGCUCUCUCCCGCACGGCCAGCCAAGCUCUUCAACCUACUGCUCUCCUGUGCUUCCUGGGAACUCCAGAAAGGCUGGUUGACUUCUGAGGCCUUGACAGAAGGAAAAGGGGAGGACACACAGGGGAGAAGACCAUGUGAAGACAGAGGUAGAGCUCAGAGUGAGGCAUCCACAAGCCAUGGAUGCCCAGGAUGGCCAGGCGCCCACAGAAGCCCGGAGAGCAGGAAGGAGCAUCCCCUGGAGCCCCCAGAGGGUGCACGGCCCUGCCGGCUUCUUGGCUUUGGGCUUCUCUCCCGCCUCUGUUGUUGUGUUGUUGACUUGACCAAGACUGUUUUGUCCUGUGACAGGUUCAGAAUGGAGCAGGCUGAACAUCAGCGUGAACUCCAGGAGUAGAGGAAUAAGCGCUGUCUUGCUGCAUGGCUGCGCUAGAGUUUGGCUGGGUUAAUGGGACUGAGGAAAGAAGUCUCCAAGUAGGGAGAGGCAUAGCAGGCCCUCGGGCCAUGGCUGGCUGGCCUGUGGGGUCUGGGCCGUGUGGGCAAGCUUGUAAGCAGAGUAUGCCGUGCAUUGUCCCUAGCGACAAGACAAGUGUCACAUGGGUGUUCAAGGGCAGCCUCCAGUGAGUCAGAAGCAGGAGGGGCCAGAGAUGUUCAGAGUUGGGAGGUGCAGGGGGGAGGGAGGAAGCACAACUCACCAGGAGAGGGACCCUUCAGAUGUGGUGCCAGGAGAAGGCCUCAGGGAAGCCCAGGCCUCCCGUGUGCUCUCCACAUACCUCAUACCACACACACACGCCUCACACCACACACACCUCAAAUCAUACCACACACCAUCUAAGUUGCCCUGACACCUCACAUCCUCUCAAAUGCACUGAUACCCUCCAAAUAAAGCAUCUCUUAAAUUACCCCAGCCCCUCUCACCACCCCAAACCCUGAAUGCACCCCCCCAUGUCACCCCUAAUGAUACCCCUGCCCCAGGCACCACAUGUUCACAUACCCCUCCUGACAGAGAGAUUAUGAGUACCACCAGAAAACCUCGUUCAGAGGAGGGCUCUUGUGGGCAGCUGAGGAUCUGGGGGGUCCUCCCUGACAUCCAGGUGUGAACAGAGGGGGCAAGCCAGGGGGCUGGAAGAAGAGCCCAGGGCUAGGGGGCCAACAGCCAGCCCAGAGAGGCAGCAUUGGCAUGUGGAAGGGCGACUGGGACAGAGGCUGGAGGGCUGAGGCCUAAACUCAUGUCUCUCAAAAUGUGGUACAUGGGCUACCUGCAUGAGAGUCCUCAGGUGCCUGUCACAGUGUAGACUCUGGUCCCUACUGCAUGUCGGCAGGGGGCUUGGAAUCUGCACUGCAGACAGACUUCUGCCUGGAGGUUCUAUGUGCCUGAAAUGAGUGUCUGAAACCUGCCGGCCUCAGCGGUGCAAAGUCUUGACCAGCUGGAUUCAGACCGUGUUUGGGAGGCAGCAGUGGCCACUGAAAGUGUUGGGUGGGCGCUGAACAGAGCAAGGCUUCUGAGGAGCGAAUUUUGCAGCAGUUUCCGUGCAGGACUGGAGAAUUUGGGGAGCACAGGUAGGAAGUCUCAGGAGGACCUGAGCUGGGUGGGAGAGGGACUGGCUGGGAGGACUGCUGUGUGAACCCCGUCAGGGUUGGCACCCCAAAACACCCAUCAGCAGGGCUCAGCAGCCAGCUUGAUGGAGUGCAAGAUGGAGGCAUUGGGUAGAUCUGGACAGGCCCCACUUCCAGAAGGCAAGGGCCUGGCGUUUUCUGGGGCGAGGGUCCCGCCAGAGGCCCUGGAAGCUGGCUGGAGAGCACACCCCAGGUCAUCACCCCUCCCUCACCUCCACCUCUUUAAAGUGGAAGAUCACCGAGUGCUUCCAUCUCCUGUCCCCCAGGCUGCACUCAGCCUUAUGGGCCGGCAGGACCCUCCAUGGCCCCUUCUGCCUGUGACCAUCACGCAGGAAUUCCAGGCCACAGCUGUAGCCAGCCAGGGCACCUGCAAACUGCUGGCUGCGAGCCGUAUUUAAAGUCUCUGUGAAUACGCAGGCGUGUUGUAGCCUGGCGCUCCAGGGACCCCCAGACCACUGAUGUUUGAAGGACACCCCAAUGUCCUCCAGUCCCUUUGCUCAGUGUGACUUCAGAGACUUUAGCUGCUGGGCAAAGAUCCAGCUUCUCUGGGCAGAGGGUUGGAAAGAGAACUGUCUCUGGAAAGGAAAGGAAUGGAGGGUCCCUAGCACUAGGCGGCACAGCGGGAAGGGGGCUUGGGAGGAGCCUUUUCCCAGUGUUCUGCCUGUAAGAGAGCAGCUGUAUCGGGGACUACGUCGGUCACGUGUCCUCGAUGUGGCUCCCAUCACUGGCUGCUGUCAUUGCCCCCCACCACCAGAGUGUGGGGGGCUCCUGGGUUUGCGUCCCCUCUGAGGAGCAGGGUAUGUAUCCAUUUGUGUUCCCAGGUCAUACUUUUGACCCAGGUGACCCCAGGCUGAGGCCCGGGUUGGUCCCCCAGACCCUCACUCAGCGUGAGCCGCCCAUGGGUUUGUUCUGAGACACACUGGCCCGGAGCCUGGGAUGCUUACUGUGAAUCCGAUGCCCACGGUGGCCGAGAAGGAGCCUGGGAUGAACUUGCCCUGAUCAAACUGGACCAGCAGAGAUGUCUUCCCGACGCCGCUGUCGCCCACCAGGAUGGUCUGAAAAGGAGCACCGGAGGGAUACUGAAGAAGGCAUAAAAACAUAGAGCAAGUCUUAUAUCACCCCAAGUUAAUGAUCAUCUGAGGUGACCAAGAGAAUGUGCCUCUCAGCCUUCUGACCACAGAGACGGAGCAGACUCAGCCCACUGCUACUAUACUCUGCCAUCCACCGGCGGUGUGUUUGCACCAAGGCCAUGCUUCCCAGGGGCAAUUCCCAGCCAAAGGCAGAGUGUGGCAGGGACACUGAGGCAGGCCUGUUUCUGGGAGACAUAGGACUCCCGUCAUGGCUGACUUUGGCUGGAAGAUUCCCUCAGUUUUACAGAACCUUCCAGAGACUGCACGGCGGUCUUUGACACUUCUACACAAGCUUCCUGCCUCUCGCCUUCACUUGUGGCUGGACCUGCUUCGUGGUCUGAAGCUCUCCCUGCCUCCCCUGGCUCCUACCCCAUUUCUUUCACAGGUGUUUCUCCUAAUAAGAUCCUUGCACAUUUAAUUCCCUUUUGGCAUCAUCUGCUUGAGGGAAGACUUGAACUAACACAGUGGGUUUCCUGUAUGGGAAAGUCUAAGAAAAUAGUCUAUAAUAAACAAAAAAGCCGGGGUAUCUGGAUAUAUGCCUUGGAAAGGGUUUGUGCUUGGCCCUGGAGCCAGGCCCAGAGAGGACAAUAUUUCAAAGAGAAGCAAGAGUUUGGGAAAGAACUUCUGGACUUGAAGAAAGUGGUGGGAGCAUGAGACUGAACUUCAGGUGCUGUAUUUGAGAGAAACUCAUAAGCAACAGAGAAGAAAUACCCAUGCACCCAGAGGCUGGUACCCAGAGAGCCCUCAGUGGAUGAAUGAAUGAAUGGCUAGAUGCCUUAGUUUCAAGGUGAACAAUAGCCCCUUUCAAAAGGCGAGCCUUCAAGCGCAUUGGGAAGGUUUAGGAGAUUAGCCGGCUUUAGCUGGAUUUGCAAAAAUGUAAAAACAAAAAAAAAACAAAAUGUGAAAACCUAAAGAUGGACAGGGCCUCCUUGGGUCAGACCCAUGGCCCUAGCCCUCUUUGGCUCUAGCAGUGUCAUUGAACUGGCAUCAGGGCAAAUGCGAGGUUGUCAUGAUGCGGACUUUGGAGGUCCCCUGAUGAUGGUGCCCCCCCCCACCCCCUGAACCAAAUUUGAUUCAGCUUUUGUUUCCUCCUGGUUAAAGGGCUCCAUUUAUUUGUUGUGUAUAGUGACUUUAGUAAUUUACAUAUCAAAUCCAACUUCCUCAGGCUUGAAGAAGUGCUUCCUAGAGAGAAUAUUCCAGAAUGUGAGGGGUCAGACCAUCCACGUCCACCUUGUUCAUUUACUAAGGGAUAUAACAGAUUCCCAAUAUUUUCACUUUCAUCCUUUGCCUUUCCAGGAAGGCGGGUUCCCACCACUUUCUUUUGUCAUCAUAAUGAAAACAGCUCCAUCUUCUUGGGACCCUUUCUGGUUCAGUGGGGACAUAGUCCAGGGUUUC